AAUUGGAACAAUACAGAGAAGAUAAGCGUGCCCCUGCGCAAGGAUGACAAGCAAAUUUGUGAAGCGUUCCAUAUUUUU
rnacentral:snRNA from 1 species